GAUGAACGCUGGCGGCGUGCCUAAUACAUGCAAGUCGAGCGAACAGACGAGGAGCUUGCUCCUCUGACGUUAGCGGCGGACGGGUGAGUAACACGUGGAUAACCUACCUAUAAGACUGGGAUAACUUCGGGAAACCGGAGCUAAUACCGUAUAAUAUAUUGAACCGCAUGGUUCAAUAGUGAAAGACGGUUUUGCUGUCACUUAUAGAUGGAUCCGCGCCGCAUUAGCUAGUUGGUAAGGUAACGGCUUACCAAGGCGACGAUGCGUAGCCGACCUGAGAGGGGGAUCGGCCACACUGGAACUGAGACACGGUCAAGACUCCUAAGGGAGGCAGCAGUAGGGAAUCUUCCGCAAUGGGCGAAAGCAUGACGGAGCAACGCCGCGUGAGUGAUGAAGGUCUUCGGAUCGUAAAACUCUGUUAUUAGGGAAGAACAAAUGUGUAAGUAACUAUGCACGUCUUGACGGUACCUAAUCAGAAAGCCACGGCUAACUACGUG
rnacentral:rRNA from 1 species